rnacentral:miRNA from 1 species
GGGUGGCCGACUCUCCUGGUUUGCCUGGGACGGAGGCAGUUCCUGGGACACAGGACUUUAGUUCUAAA